CUGAACCACAUUAAACAGCUAAGCAUUAGAAACGUAGAUGUAAGAUCUACAGGGGCUUUUAAAGCUGUAGCUGAAGUCCUGAGGUCCUGCAAGCAUGAGGCAACUAAUCAGAUUUUCAGGUUUGGACUUGGAUGUGAAGUGUGCAUGAGCGAGCCACAGGAACCAGUAGGACUGCCAUG